CAGAACUAUCAGUCUCAUGAGCCACACACUUAAAAUAUUUUUGAGAAUAAUACAUUCAAGGAUUUAUCACAAGUGUGAGAAUAUUUUAAGUGAAAAUCAGUUUGGAUUUAGGAACAACUUAGGAACAAGAGAGGCACUUUUUGGUAUUCAAGUUUUCAUUCAGCGAUAUAGGGAUGUUACUAGAAAUGUGUUUCUGUGUUUUCUUGAUUAGAACAAAGCCUUUGAUAGGGUACACCAUAUUAAAUUAAUUGGAUUUGGAUUUACAUUUUAACAUGUGAACCUUAAUGUUGCAGGCUGUGAUGCCAAUUAUGAGAGAGAGAAGAGCUAGCCCACCUGGUUUUGAUAGGACCACUUGUGCAGCCUCUGCAAGACAGGCAUAAGAGCCCAGGAGCAAAUGAGCGAGGAGGUGGAGGAGAGUGUGCACACUGCACUGCUGUAAGGAGGCAAGGAUCUAAAAGCAAGUUUGCUUCUCCACUGCUGCAAAAGAAUUUAUAAAAUACUGGACUACAGGACUGUGGCACAGGGCAAGAAGAGAUGGGCUAACACAGAGAAAGAAUUUGCAAGGAAAUUUUUUCAGAUUAGAUGCACAAGCUAACUGUGGACAACACUGAUUGGCUGCUGUCUUUGGCAUAUCAAACUCAUCUCCCACCCAUGGACUUGGAAUAAUUUUGCAACUUUUAAUAGCAUAAAUGUAAAAGUGACGCUCACUUUUUUUUAAAAAAGGACCAUCUGAACCUUGAAAGGAAAGAGACAAAAGCAAAUAGCAACACAGCAUUCCAUGUGGAAGCAAGUAUGUCUGUGGAUUAGAGUAUGUAGUUAGUGGAGGUGGAACUCGGCUUGACCCAUCAGGGAGGAAAAAACCCAUCAUUUCCAUCCUUGAAAGACUGCAGAGAUUUUCAACAAAAUCGACUGCAUCUUUGAUUCUUUUUUCCCCAGCUUUUACUUCUGAUAAUACUAAUGAUACAGAUUUACAUUCAGUUAGUAGUUGAGCUGUUUUAGGGAAAUUUAGUCUGGCCCUCCAGGGAUAACUUUCUGAAACACUUAAAAAAAACAAAAAAACUUUUAGUGAAGUUAUUGGCAAGGAAAAAGAGCAGUAUAAAUACCAAGUGAU